rnacentral:sRNA from 1 species
GUCUAUCAGGAACACACAAACAAACACAAAUUGAUUUAUUGUAUAUAUAUAAGAAGAUAUGGGAUUAUAUGUAUUAAAGUUUUUUGCUAUUAGUAUUAAAUUUUUUUUAGCGUAAUUGUUUUAAAUUGUUAUUGAAUUUUUAAUUUUAAAUUAACUUAGAACAUUUUUAAAGAUUUGGCUAUGUUUGACACUGUAGGGUAGCCUACUCUCGUGUUAAUUGAAAUCUCUCCCACUCUCUGUCGCCUAUACUCUGUCUGUCUCCCUGUCGCCUAUACUCUCCCUGUCUUUUGUCAGCACUAGCAGCAAUGUGUUUGCUAUUAUGGCUCUGCCGCCAUUCUAUACUCAUUGUCAAUUUCGCGACGAUUCUUGGAGCUGUUCUUUCUGUUUUUUUUUUCAACGUCUUGUCUGCGAGUGUUUUGUUUUCUUGCUUUAGUUGUUGUUGCUACUUUUUUUUUCUUGCUCAUUUGUGUUUAUUUUGGUUUAUUGCCGCCAGAGCGAGUCGUUGAGUGGCGUUGCGGUCAGAGGCAAAUCAAAACGAAACUAAACGAACGAGCGAACGAACGUCUCAAGCGUAGAACACCGGAAUAGUGGAAUUGUGCGCGCUUCUAGAAAUACAUAAUAAUUAAUAUUAAAUAUUAAAAAAAAUAAUAAUAAAAAAUAGUUAAGCAAACAACUAAAUUAAACGCGAAAGAAUUGUUUGCUAGCAAAUUAUAGUAUAGAAGAAGAAGAAGAAAAAAAAAGAAUAAGUGUUUAACAACAGCAGCAACAAGAGCUAUUGAAUAACGAAGAAAAAUAAGUUAAAAUUUCAAUAAAAAUAUUUUGAAAACAAAAACACGCAUACGAAAAAAUAUUGUCCAAACAAAACAAGCGCGCGAGUUCCAAGAAAAACGAGUUGAAGUCUAAGCGAGAAAAAUAAAGCAUCGAUCUAAGUGAAUUAUUAAAAAAAAAUAACGAAAAUACAAAAACAAAGGUAUUUUGAGGUAGAAAAUUUUACAACAAAAACCAAGUCAAUAAUCACAAAAUUCUACGAGAGAGAGGGAAAAAAAUGAAAUACCUAUAACAUUUAUUAUUUAACACCAUUAUCGAAAAUAUCUAAAAAAACUUAAACAAUUCGAAAAAAGAGUUUUCUAGAUCUGAUAAUCAGAAAAAAAUAUAACGAAAAAAAAACAACAACGAAAUAUACCAAAAAAAUAAAAUCCCCAACUGAUAAAAAAUAACACAAAACGAAACUUUAAGAAAAAAAUUUAUAUUAAAUGAUAAAAACACAGAUAUCUGUGAAUGAGACAGAAGACCUACCAACAAAAAAGACAUACCUUUAAGCAACGACGCAAGGGGUAACUCUGCUAAACUUAUUGUUAGAAAAAUAGAAAAAAAAUAGAAAUUAAAUCAAAAGCAAUAAAAAAUUAAGUGGUGAAAUCUUAUUCAUUGCAAAUUGAAAAAUCAAAGUGUGUUGCUUUCAAAAGCUAUCAUCAGUAUUUCAAUGAAAACGGGCAAGUUUUGAAAAUUUCCCCAAGAAGACGAAGGCAAAGUGUGCAGCUAUAACCCUUAAACUAAUAUUGUGAAGGGCGUACAAGGAUUUCAAAAA